UAAUAGUAUUUAAUCGAUCGUGUGCAUGUUUGCGCACGUGUUACGAUUUGUCUUGUAAUCAUCUUUUAAUAGGUUUCUUAGUACUUUGUAUCGUAACAGGAAAUCCUACCAAUCGGUUAAGAGAAUCUGAAUUGUUAUUUGUGACUCUUUGAUGAUGACGUAAAGAAUUACUCUUGAAUGUAAUGCGUUAGAAUGACUUGUUGUAAGCUACUAAAGAAUUUAAGUGCGGCAUGAUUUGUUCUUAUACGAAUAGUUGUAAUAUGUGUAAUACAAUUGAUCAUGGAUACUAGUAAAAAACAUGAUAAUCCUAAUCCAAAAUUAUCGGCGAAUUUUUUUAGUAAAUUAAUAUUUUGGUGGUUAAAACCUCUAUUUUGGUAUGGAAGAAAUCAUGAUCUUGAACUUAAAGACAUUUAUAAUGUUAUGCCAAAUGAUGUUAGCCAACAUCUUGGAGAUAAACUUGAAAGAAAUUGGAUUAAAGAGAUAAAGUUAGCAGAAGAAACUAAUAAAAAGCCUAAAUUUUUUAAUGCUUUAAAAAAGACAUUCGCAUGGUCAUUUGGUUAUUAUGGAGGAUGGCAAUUUUUUUUAGCAGUUAUUUUAAGAGUUUUACAACCAUAUGUAUUAGGUUUUCUUAUUUGGCACUUUGAUCCUAGAGCAACAUCCACUGCCACUGAGGCAUACAUUUAUGCUUCAUCUGUUGUACUUAUAUCUUUACUUGGAGCUUUAAUUAAUCAUCACUCUAUGUUAGGUUUAAUGGAAGUUGGAAUGAGAAUGAGAGUAGCAUGUUCUUCUUUAAUAUAUAGAAAGAUUUUGCGUUUAUCAAAAUCUUCUACCAACAUUACUACUCCAGGACAAAUUAUAAAUUUACUCUCAAAUGAUGUAGCAAGAUUUGAACAAUUGUUUGUAGCAGUACAUUAUAUUUGGAUAUUACCGAUUCAAGGUGCUUUAAUUACUUUCAUGAUAUGGAAGAGUGUAGGAAUUGCAUCUUUAGCUGGAGUUUUUCUUAUAAGUAUUCAAACUAUACCUCUUCAAGGAUAUAUGGGAAAAUGGAUAUCAAAAUUGAGAUUAAAAAUUGCAAUUAGAACAGAUGAAAGAGUAAGAUUAAUGUCAGAAAUAAUUGCUGGAAUUCAAGUUAUAAAAAUGUAUACUUGGGAAAAACCAUUUGAGAAUUUUGUUAGUCUUGUCAGAAGUUAUGAGAUAGACAUCUUGACGCUUACAUCGUAUUUACGAGGUUUUACCUUAGCUACGUUUGUAUUUACCGAACGUACCACAUUAUAUUUUACAAUUAUGGCAUAUGUACUUCUCGGAAAUAGUAUAUCUGCUGAUAAAGUAUUUUCAAUGGCUCAGUAUUUCAAUAUUCUUCAACUUACUAUGGCAAUAUUAUAUCCUAUGGCUGUAUCAGCAGUAGCAGAGGCUUCUGUAUCUAUUAAAAGACUUGAGAAUUUUCUUUUAUUGAAAGAAAAUACUAACAUAAUUCAUUCACAACAAACUAAUGGAGAUGGUAAUAUUAUAAUGAAAAAUAUUACAGCAUCAUGGACAGAAAAUACAAUAGCAAAUACUUUACAUGGUAUUAAUGUUCAAAUAGAAUCUCAUAAACUUUAUGCUAUUGUUGGUUCAGUUGGUGCAGGAAAGAGUUCAUUUCUUCAAUUAAUUUUAAGAGAACUACAACAAUCACAAGGAGAAAUACGAAUAAAUGGUACUGUAUCUUAUGUUAGUCAAGAAGCAUGGUUAUUUUCGGGUACAGUGCGUAACAAUAUACUUUUUGGACAAUCUUAUGAUAAAGAAAAAUAUAAUGAAGUUAUUAAAGUAUGUGCUCUUAUUAAAGAUUUUCAACAGUUUAAUUAUGGAGACAGAACUUUAGUUGGAGAUAGAGGUGCAGCACUCAGUGGUGGACAACGAGCAAGAAUUAAUUUAGCAAGGGCCGUAUAUAGAAAUGCAGAUAUUUAUUUAUUAGAUGAUCCAUUAUCAGCAGUUGAUACUCAUGUAGGAAAACAUUUAUUUAAUGAAUGUAUAAAACACUAUCUUCGAAAUAAAACAAGAAUUCUUGUAACUCAUCAAAUACAGUACUUAAAAGAUUGCGAUUACAUCAUUUUAUUGAAUAAUGGUAAAAUUGAAUGUGAAGGUACAUUUGCAGAACUUCAAAGCAAACGUAUAGAUUUUUUAAAAAUGCUUUCAAUAGAAGAAAAUAAAGAAAAUUCAGAAAGUUUGGAAAUUGAUGAAAGUACUACAUUUGAUACAUCUAUUAAUUAUAACAACAAUAAAGAUGAUGAAGAAACGGAGCCAAAAGAAACUGAAGAAUUAAUGGCUAAAGGAAAUGUUUCUAAAUCUCUUUAUUGGAAAUAUUUUCGAGCUGGGGGUUCUAUUCUGAUGAUUCUAACUUUUAUAUGGUCCUUAGUCUUGGGACAGAUAGGAAGUAGCGGUUGCGAUUAUUGGGUUGCUUAUUGGUUAAUAUUUAUUGGACAAAAAAAAGAGGAAAUGCACAUUAAAUAUUAUAUUAAUAAUAAUCAUACGCUGCAAAUAUUGAAACAAAAUCUCACAACUUCAUUUUCUUCUAAUGAUAUGAAUAAUUUAAUGAACAAGACAUUUUUAUUAAAAUAGAUAAUUUUAAUGAUACAAUUUCAAACUUUUCAACAUUAGAAAAUAACAGUUUUAAUAAUUCUGCAUGGAAUAUUAACGCAACUUCUAAAGAUUUAAGUUAUCUCGAUCGUGAUACUGCUUUGUGGAUUUAUGGAAGUUUCAUCAUUACAAGUAUAGUGUUGACAUCCAUAAGAAAUAUCGUAUUUUAUAAAAUAUGUAUGAAUGCUAGUAAAAAUCUUCAUAAUCUUAUGUUUUCAUGUUUAUUAAAAGCGCCAAUGCUAUUUUUUGACACACAUCCUUCUGGUCGCAUUCUAAAUCGUUUUUCAAAAGAUGUUGGAUCGGUAGAUGAAAUUUUACCGAGAACAAUGAUAGAAUCUAUUCAAAUAUUUGCAGUAAUGGUUGGAAUUUUAGGACAAGUUCUUAUUAUUAAUUGGUGGACAAUAUUUCCUAUGUUUAUUAUGGGCUUCUUAUAUUGGAAAAUACGAAAUAUUUAUCUUAGUACUGCACAAAAUAUGAAACGUUUUGAAGGAAUUACAAAAAGUCCAGUUUUUUCCCAUGUUAGUUCUUCAUUAUUAGGAUUAACAACAAUUCGUUCUGCUUGCGCACAAAAUAUGGUUCGUAAGGAAUUUGAUGUUCAUCAAGAUCUUCAUACUAGUGCUUAUUAUUUGACUAUAACAACAAGUACUGCUUUUGGAUUUGCAUUAGAUAUUGUCUCUAUUUGUUUCAUUGCUUUUAUUACAUAUAGUUUCAUUGUACUCGAUGACGGAAAUACAUUUGCGGGAAAUGUAGGAUUAGCCAUAUCUCAAGUAUUAAUCUUGUGUGGAAUGCUUCAGCAUGGAAUGCGUCAAACUGCAGAAACGAUAGCACAAAUGACAAGUGUAGAACGAAUUCUACAAUUUACACAACUCGACAAAGAAGGAUCAUUUGAAAGUGAACCUAAUAAGAAACCACCUGCAGAAUGGCCUUUUAAGGGAGAAAUUAAUUUUGAUCAUUUAUACUUACGUUAUGAAGAUUCAGCACCACCAGUUCUUAAAGAUUUAUGUUUUACUAUUAAAGCUGGUGAAAAAAUAGGAAUAGUUGGUCGUACUGGUGCUGGUAAAACAUCGCUAAUAUCAGCUUUGUUUCGCUUAGCUAAACUCGAAGGUUCUAUUUAUAUAGAUAAGUUGGAUACAAAACAAAUAGGUCUUCAUGAAUUACGAAAGAAAAUUUCAAUUAUUCCACAAGAGCCUGUAUUAUUCUCAGCAACACUUCGAGAUAAUCUUGAUCCUUUUCAUAAUUUUGAUGAUGCUACUCUUUGGUCUGCUCUCGAAGAUGUAGAAUUAAAAACAAGUAUCUCUUCUCUAGAUUAUAAUGUUGAACAAGGAGGAGCUAAUUUUAGUGUUGGACAAAGACAAUUACUUUGUUUAGCACGUGCAAUUUUAAGAAAUAAUAAGAUUCUACUUCUUGAUGAAGCUACAGCUAAUGUUGAUCCUACAACAGAUGCUUUAAUACAAAGAACUAUUCGACAAAAAUUUAAAGAUUGUACAGUAUUAACCAUAGCACACAGAUUAAAUACUAUAAUGGAUAACAAUAAAGUACUAGUUAUGGAUCAUGGAAUGGCAAUUGAGUUUGAUCAUCCAUACAUUCUACUUAAAAAUGAAGAAAACCAUUUUACUAGAAUGGUCAAAGAAACUGGAAAAGUAAUGUUUGAACAACUUAAAAAAAUUGCAAAAGAGGCUUAUGAUGAUAUAAUCACUGAUACAACAUUACAAUCAUCACCACAAGUUAUAGAUAAUGAUGAUAAUUAGAUUUUUAAUAAAUACUAAUAUUGUUCCUAUUUAAAUAAUUCUUUAUUUUAUGUAUAUAAUGACAUUUUCUGCAAUCAAAUUUUAUAAGUUAAAUUGUAUACAAUAUUUUUAUGUACUUUUUUAAAUUAUAAUAUCUUUAAUACAAUUUCUUAAAUUCUACUUAAUGUAAAAAUAUUAAGCACA